CGAACGCUGGCGGCGUGCCUAAUACAUGCAAGUCGAGCGGAAUGAUGAAGAAGCUUGCUUCUUCUGAUUUUAGCGGCGGACGGGUGAGUAACACGUGGGCAACCUACCUUGUAGAUUGGGAUAACUCCGGGAAACCGGGGCUAAUACCGAAUAAUCCAUUUUGCUUCAUGGCGAGAUGUUGAAAGACGGUUUCGGCUGUCACUAUAAGAUGGGCCCGCGGCGCAUUAGCUAGUUGGUAGGGUAAUGGCCUACCAAGGCGACGAUGCGUAGCCGACCUGAGAGGGUGAUCGGCCACACUGGGACUGAGACACGGCCCAGACUCCUACGGGAGGCAGCAGUAGGGAAUCUUCCACAAUGGACGAAAGUCUGAUGGAGCAACGCCGCGUGAGUGAAGAAGGUUUUCGGAUCGUAAAACUCUGUUGUAAGGGAAGAACACGUACGAGAGUAACUGCUCGUACCUUGACGGUACCUUAUUAGAAAGCCACGGCUAACUACGUG
rnacentral:rRNA from 1 species